rnacentral:rRNA from 1 species
GACGAACGCUGGCGGCGUGCCUAAUACAUGCAAGUAGAACGCACGGUUUAUACCGUAGCUUGCUACACCAUAGACUGUGAGUUGCGAACGGGUGAGUAACGCGUAGGUAACCUGCCUGGUAGCGGGGGAUAACUAUUGGAAACGAUAGCUAAUACCGCAUAAUAUUAAUUAUUGCAUGAUAAUUAAUUGAAAGGUGCAAUUGCACCACUACCAGAUGGACCUGCGUUGUAUUAGCUAGUAGGUGAGGUAACGGCUCACCUAGGCGAAGAUACAUAGCCGACCGUAGAGGGUGAUCGGCCACACUGGGACUUAGACACGGCCCAGACUCCUACGGGAGGCAGCAGUAGGGAAUCUUCGGCAAUGGACGAAAGUCUGACCGAGCAACGCCGCGUGAGUGAAGAAGGUUUUCGGAUCGUAAAGCUCGGUUGUAAGAGAAGAACGGGUGUGAGAGUGGAAAGUUCACACUGUGACGGUAUCUUACCAGAAAGGGACGGCUAACUACGUG